rnacentral:rRNA from 1 species
UACGUAGGCGGAAGAUUAAGUCAGUGGUGAAAUCCUGCAGCUUAACUGUAGAACUGUCAUUGAUACUGGUUUUCUUGAAUUUAGUUGAGGUAGGCGGAAUGUGUAAUGUAGCGGUGAAAUGCUUAGAUAUUACACAGAACACCGAUUGCGAAGGCAGCUUACUAAACUAUGAUUGACGCUGAGGUACGAAAGCGUGGGGAGCAAACAGGAUUAGAUACCCCUGGUAGUCC